rnacentral:rRNA from 1 species
AGUGAACGCUGGUGGCGUGCUUAACACAUGCAAGUCGAACGAGAACGGGUUAUAGCUUGCUAUAAUUGUCAGCUAAGUGGCGCACGGGUGAGUAAUGUAUAGGUAAUAUGCCUCUUACUAAGGGAUAACAAAUGGAAACGUUUGCUAAUACCUUAUACUCCUUAUUAACAGAAGUUAAUAAGGGAAAGAUUUAUUGGUAAGAGAUUAGCCUGUAUUGUAUCAGUUAGUUGGUGGGGUAAUGGCUUACCAAGACUAUGACACAUAACUGGUUUGAGAGGAUGAUCAGUCACACUGGAACUGAGACACGGUCCAGACUCCUACGGGAGGCAGCAGUGGGGAAUAUUGCACGAUGGACGAAAGUCUGAUGCAGCAACGCCGCGUGGAGGAUGACACAUUUCGGUGCGUAAACUCCUUUUAUAUGAGAAGAUAAUGACGGUAUUAUAUGAAUAAGCACCGGCUAACUCCGUGCCAGCAGCCGCCGUAA